CAGCUCCCUCUUGAAGCAUUUCCACACCUACGUGUAUUUAGCUCCUUUUUUUAUAGCAGAAGGUCAGACGCGGGGUGGAUAAUACAUGCUGGAGUGCAUCUUGAACUAUCAUCCUAUAUGAUAGUGCCAAUGUCAAGAAAAUCCUGUCAUCACAUUGUUGGUCUUCUGGCCUUCUUCAGGCUUAUGCAGCCAAGGCUGUCUCACAGGAAGAUUUCUUCAGAAACCAGCCCUGGGCCUCACUGAAAACUUGUGGGUUAGGUUUCCCAUCGCAGCAGUGGUGCAGGAACGGUCUAGGAAAGCAUCCGCCUUUUCUGAAGACCAUGACCUUCUACAGUGACUGAAACCUAUUUUGGUUGAACUCUUAUUUGUAUGAAGUCUGUCAUUACGUGUUCUUCUCAGCUGCUGUGUGUCUCUGAUUUCCUCUGCGAUAAAAUUAUCCUCUUACCACGUUUUGUCUGACGGUGACGGACUACAGAGGAGAGGCAGCAGGUUCCGCACAGCCCGAUGCAGGGGAGGCCGGUCCCAACAGGACGCCUGCUGCUGCAACAUCCCUGCAGACAAAAACGAUUUUUAUGUGCUGCACUUCGCUAACAUUUGCUUCAGCCCUGGAAUCUACGCAGGGAUGAGUUACUGCUGUUCUUUGGCUCCCUGCUCCAUCUGCUCCUGAAAUGAUCAUUCCACGUGAUACAACAGAACAACUUCUGAAGCAAAUUGGACUGACUUGAAUUGAGGAAUAAGCAAGAGGGGAUCUCGGGAAUGAAAGGUCCUUCUUUCAGUGGCGAAGGCGAAGUCAAAGAGCAAAGGAGGCUGGAAAAAUAAAGCAGGAUGUUUCCAGUACAGCCCGGCCAGUGGGGAGCUGCGGAUAUUGGUCAAGCAGGACAAUGUAAUCUGUCCGUGACAUCUUGACAAUGUGGUCCAGAAGGAAAAUGGGAACUUCUCAGACUCGCAAUGUAAAUGAGAACCCACAAGGACAUGCUGUGGCCAUCGAUACAGUGCAGAGAGGGCGAGAUCCUGCCAAACUGUGCUGACUUUGGUUCCCCAGAAAGGAAAACACCAUCAUCCAGCCACCUCCCAUCAUUUCCCCUCACCCAGCUCCUCGCUGACCUUCUGCAGGUGCCAUGCCAGCUCCCAGCCCUGGUGCUUGGCCAUGGCUGCAGUACGGAUACGAGGUCCAAGAAGGGUCUGUAACAUUACAGAGAAAACAUGGUUUAUUUUUCUUUUGUGCCAAGUCUACGGCUGGAUUUUUGCCAAGCAGCUCCUUGUGGCUACAUGGAUUUCCAUUUAUCCAACAGCUCAAAUGCGUCUGGGGAUCAUCGUAACUGAUUGUUAUAUUACCAAUACUGUGGGCAUUUGUUGUGUGACAUAGGUCUCUGGAUGCCUCCAUGGUGUAAAUAAUCCAAGGAACAACAUAGCAAAAUGUCAUGUCACAGCCCCAUGCAGGAAUAAAUCUAAGGCAAAAGAGCCUAAAUAUGAAAGCAGUCAGUUUGAUAUGAGUUUGUUUGAUUUGUAAAUAAGACUGAUUCAAAUAGAAGCAUUAAGCUUUGUCAAGUUGUAGUCAUAGGCUGACUUCAGUUACCUGGAAGUCUGAAUUGGUUCAAGCUUUAAAUACAACUUCCUUUUAAGUUUGAAGCCAUAAAAAAUGUGACUGAAAGAAUACAAAUGAAGAGAGUGGCUACCAGACUAAAGGGAAAUGGUCUUGAAGUGAAUUGUAUGCUGCUGAAGAAAGACCUUAUACCAUUUUUGAGACCUUGACAUCAAUGAAGUUCUAUUUAUUAGUGUCGUGUGUCCCCUCUCACCCCCACCCCCAUGUAUCUGCACUUCUGCAGCUUGAUUCUGGUUCUAUUGGGUCAUCCAUGCUCAUUUAUUUUGGUGGAGUCCAUUCUGAUCUAUGUAGUUAUUGAGGUGGAACAAUAAGCUACUCUAAACUAAGUGCUUUUGUGUAUAUAUGUGGAUUAAUGGACAAAAGAAUAACCAUCAUCUGAGAUUUCCAGACACCUCCUUUCUCCAUAACAUCCUUACGAUGUUUUCUGACAAAUACCACGGAACAGGAAGGAUCCGAUUAUCUCCCAGGCUAGAGCAGCACGUAUGAAAACACGACUAGCAAUUUAAUUUGGCUCAACUGAAAGUGAAAUCUGCAGCUAGAAGAGAGAGUUUGACAUUUCUGAAAAGCGAGAAGCUGAAAGAUGCAUCAAGUCAGACAUCGCAGCCGAGAGACCCCCAGUCAGCACUUCGUAGCCUCAGGCGCUCGUGUAUUGAUCUGCACUAAGUCAUCUGGAAUUCACCCACUGCUAACUGAUCCAGGAGGUUGUUAGAACAUGCAAGGGGUAUUGCAAAACAGCAGAUCUUCGCACGCGUGGAAGAAAAAACUGUCAUUUUUAGGGCUGAAUGCACCUGGAGGGACGGUGAUGGGGGGGAAACAUUGGAGUGUUUCUUUUUGCAUCCUGAAAGUCAGAGGACGUCUGCCAGCUGGUUGCCACGACCCAUCCAAGCUCUGGUGAGUAAUUGUGGAAGUUUGUGCACUCUGAUUCACUUCAAACAAUGUGUUGUGCAAUGACAGUAAAGAACAGAAGCCUAUCAAUAAUCAAGGUGUUAU